rnacentral:lncRNA from 1 species
AAUGACACAGGCUCUCCCGCUUGGGGAGACCUUAGGCUAAGCGCCCCUCCUUAAAGUGCAAUGGAGGUCACUAGCCUAGGCCACUCAUCUUCUUGAUCAUGAGUUGACCCUGUCCAGGUAAGUGAUUUGUAUGCUAACUCUACUUCUCUUCUUAUACUCUCCUUCGCGAGUCAUUCUUUCUACGCGUAACCGAUGUGGGACUAUCUGUUAGCAAGUUUCACGCUCUGACACAGUUUUUUCUUUACGACAAUAUACAUGGGCUGGUACUAUAGGCUCAGUUAUCACGUGUUUGAGCAUUUCUGGACAAUCACAACUUCGUUAUCGCACGUAUUUUAGUCAUCCUUUAUUUCGUAUUGUUGUGGAUCCAAAAUUUAUUUUCGAUCAAUAAAAUCUCACAUAUUAUUUGGUUUUGAUGAGCCUUCAUGAAAUUUAUAGCUGAUCCCUUUGUUACCAAACAACUUAUAAGUUAUAGCUAUUGCCUCUUGUGACCUGAAUUUUCUUUUUUGAAAAUAAAAAUUGCAGGUUUGCGUGCUCUGAUGAUUCAUGUCUUGACUGGUCUAGGUCUACUAUUGAAAAUCAAUCUCUUUCAGCUGAAGUAUAAACAGAGAAACAUUCAAAUAUUCCAGUAACUCUCUACUAUUGUCAGAUCAUUCAGCGACUUGGAAAAAUGGAACAACAACAAAAUGUAUGUUUUUUAUCAGUUAAUAGCACUUAGUUAUGUUCUUAAGAUUCAGUAUAGCUUCGUACGGAUUGGUGUUUUUGUAUUAAAGCGCUUUGCGAGUACAUUAUAAAACAUCAUUUUCAC